rnacentral:rRNA from 1 species
AGAGCGAACGCUGGCGGCAGGCCUAACACAUGCAAGUCGAGCGCCCCGCAAGGGGAGCGGCAGACGGGAGAGUAACACGUGGGAACGUACCCUUCAGUUCGGAACAACCCAGGGAAACUUGGGCUAAUACCGAAUACGUCCGUAAGGAGAAAGAUUUAUCGCUGAAGGAUCGGCCCGCGUCUGAUUAGCUUGUUGGUGAGGUAAUGGCUCACCAAGGCUACGAUCAGUAGCUGGUCUGAGAGGAUGAUCAGCCUCACUGGGACUGAGACACGGCCCAGACUCCUACGGGAGGCAGCAGUGGGGAAUAUUGGACAAUGGGCGCAAGCCUGAUCCAGCCAUGCCGCGUGGGUGAUGAAGGCCCUAGGGUUGUAAAGCCCUUUCGGCGGGAAGAUAAUGACGGUACCGCAGAAGAAGCCCGGCUAACUUCGCGCCAGCAGCCGA